UUCAUGGAGAGUUUGAUCCUGGCUCAGGACGAACGCUGGCGGCGUGCCUAAUACAUGCAAGUCGAGCGGACCGACGGGAGCUUGCUCCCUUAGGUCAGCGGCGGACGGGUGAGUAACACGUGGGUAACCUGCCUGUAAGACUGGGAUAACUCCGGGAAACCGGGGCUAAUACCGGAUGCUUGAUUGAACCGCAUGGUUCAAUCAUAAAAGGUGGCUUUUAGCUACCACUUGCAGAUGGACCCGCGGCGCAUUAGCUAGUUGGUGAGGUAACGGCUCACCAAGGCAACGAUGCGUAGCCGACCUGAGAGGGUGAUCGGCCACACUGGGACUGAGACACGGCCCAGACUCCUACGGGAGGCAGCAGUAGGGAAUCUUCCGCAAUGGACGAAAGUCUGACGGAGCAACGCCGCGUGAGUGAUGAAGGUUUUCGGAUCGUAAAACUCUGUUGUUAG
rnacentral:rRNA from 1 species